AUGGUUGGUUCUGGGUGAGCUGGAAUGGCUUGUCUUUGCAGGUGUCAGUGACAUUUGAGGACAUAGCUGCGUGCUUUACUCGGAAUGAGUGGAGAAAGCUGGAUGCUUUUCAGAGAAGCUUUUACUGGGAGAUGAUGCUGUAGAACUAUAGUUCCUGGCCACACUGGUUGGGACCACCACAACCUCCAGGGUACCUCUUCCUAUUUGAUGUGUCUCACACUGCAGUUGAAACUGGAUACUUGAAUUCAAUUUGCCAGAGUUUGUCAGACAAUCUGGAUUUGCUUCCUGGCAAUACUAGAACAAGAAUUAACUUCAUAACAUUUGCCAGCAGACUUCAUUUCUGUAGCCUUCAAAGUCUCUCCCAAAUGAAGAUGUUGAUAGUUUCAGGCAUUGAAGGAAAUACACCUGAUUCCAUUUCCUGAUUUCUGUAAGAAAUUAGCCUUUGAUUCUUCUGGUCAUCAGGUAGCUGUUGAUUUAUUCCUUCUCAGUGGACAGUAUUCCACUUCUCUGGGUUGUCUUUUUUAGUACUCAGCAGGUAGCGUCUGUUACUAUCCAUCUUACCAUCAUCAGCACAGUCCAGUCCAAGUACAGAAAUUACAGAAGGAACUGCGGAGGUACCUCACUCCGAAGAUUGGCUUUGAGGCAGUUAUGAGGAUUCGGUGCACUAAAGGUCUUGCCAUUCACACUUUCCAUGGGAACUUCUUUGUCUGCAAAGACUUCCACAGACUUCCUGUCUCUGCCCAGUGUCAACCUAGAUGGUGUCUGCGCAGUACAUGCUGGUGGAAGAGAGUCUUACUGACAUGCAGUUGGGUUCUUUUCAGUCAGAAUUCUCUUGUACAUCAAGCAAAGGUAAGAUUUUGUUUGUUUGCUUUUAUUGUCACAAAAUCCACGACAUGAGCUGUACUACAAGCGUAUACAGUACAGCAGUGUGAACUUGUAACACAAUAUUGUAGUAAAGAUAAGUUUGUUCA